rnacentral:rRNA from 2 species
UACGGAGGGUGCGAGCGUUAAUCGGAAUUACUGGGCGUAAAGCGUGCGCAGGCGGUUUGUUAAGCGAGAUGUGAAAGCCCCGGGCUCAACCUGGGAACCGCAUUUCGAACUGGCAAACUAGAGUCUUGUAGAGGGGGGUAGAAUUCCAGGUGUAGCGGUGAAAUGCGUAGAGAUCUGGAGGAAUACCGGUGGCGAAGGCGGCCCCCUGGACAAAGACUGACGCUCAGGCACGAAAGCGUGGGGAGCAAACAGG